GUUUAAGUUUCUGCAAAACAAGAGUGCUGGAAUUUAGUCCAAAGCCCUUAGGCUUGCUGGGCAAUGAAUUCACCUGCUGGAGACUGAGAACACUUGACGUUGCCUAAUAAAUGGGGCACUCACUGACCAUGUGAUAGUCUACUCUGCCCCAAGCAAAAUGUCACAGAACUGCUGCCACUUCUGCAUUUCUCAAAAAAAAAAAAAAAAAAAAAAAGGUUAGGAAUUCUAGUUAGUAUACAGUUAAGCCAGAGGGAGUUCUCCUUCUGUGUUCUAUAGGUAAACAAUCUGAAGACCAAGCAAUUAUUGCAAUUGUUUCACCAUUACCAAUAAGUUUUUCUAGAAAACUAACCAUGUUCUCUUUAUCCUCAACACCAUGUAUAAUAACACUUGUGAUUGAAUACCCCCUUUUUUCUUGAUGAGAGAAGGCUAAUUUUUCCAGGUAACUGCCCGUAAGUGGUGACCACAGAUAUAAUCGCUUUCUAAAUUCUGAUUGAUCUAAAUGAGUCAACCUAAUUCACCCUCCUUAAAUGUAUGAUUUAAGCAAGAAUAAUAAGUAUUUCCGACCUAUAACAGAUAGAGAGUGUCUGCUGGAACACUUCUGAGAAAUAUAUUCUCACUUUAAAGUUGAAAUUUUGUAUAUGGGAAAUAAAAAAAAAAGAUAUUUGGUAAAUGAUAUGGUUGAGAUAUUGAAUUAAUCAGUCUUCAAUUUCCUAUUAGUAUGUACACAUUUUCUCCUUGUUUAAGCCUGCUGAAACUAGAUUUUCUUUUACUUACAGCCAAAAGCACUCCAACAUGCCACUUUAACAUGUUUGUGAGGGCAUAAUCAGUCCAUGAUCAUCUGCUUAGCGGCUUGUCUCAAUGGUCAGGUUGUUAUCCCUUGCCUCAACUUGUCCUUAUUGUUCCACCACAUAAUCAAUCGCUGGAUAGUCCAUCCUGAUAAGUUCCACUUGCUGAAAGCUCUUUCCCAUUUGAGGAGAGCAACAGAAGUGAACUUGUAUUAAAAUAGAUGCAACCAAUGCUGAUGGUGUUAUAUGUGGUAAGUUGAAAAGACUCAUUAUAAGGUAAGUCAAUAACACAAUUAAGAAAUGACAAGAUUCUUCCAUCUUUUAAACUCUCCAUUUACUUUAAUUAAGCACACACUGUGAAAUCUUAUUUUUUACUUGGUAAAGAUAUUAUAAAAGUGGUGAAUUAAGAAGUAGGAUCCACCUUCACUCUUUUUCUUUUUUUUUUUUUUUUGAGGGGGGAAGGGGAAUGAGGGAAUUAGACAAAUCUGGAAAUAUGUGGUUUAAAAUUUAUAUUUAGUAUAGCCCUAAAUUUAUCAUUGAUAACUGUGUUAAUUGUUCUAGAAAAAUAAAUAAAAGACAUUAAAAGGGGAAAUGCA
rnacentral:lncRNA from 1 species